CACAAGAACACUUCUGAGGGCGUUUUGGGGUGGGCAGUGUUUCUGUGUGUGUGCCUCUCUGUGUGUAGAAAAUGUGUGUGUAAGACAUAUCCACACGAAGACUGCUGAGGGCAUUUGGGGUGGGCAGUGUGUGGUGUGUCUGUGUGUGUAGAAAGUGUUUAUGUGUAAGGCUCGUCCACAAGAAGACUGCUGAGGGCAUUUGGGGGAAACAAUGUUUCUCUCCCUCUCUCUGUAGAAAGUGUGUGUGUGUGUGUGUGUAAGAUUUGUCCAGGCUCCUGGGGGCCUUUGGGAAUGGGCAGUGUGCGUUUGUGUGGGUCGCGAUUGGGGUACCCUUUCUGAAGGUAGACGGGAGCAAGGAAAAGCCAGAGAAGCAACCAGGGGCGCGCGUGCCCCCCCCCACACAUCCCUCCAGGCACACGCGCGAGCGCGCAGCCUCCUCCUCCUCCUCCUCCUCCCCCCUCCCUGUUCUCUCCCUCUUCGCUCUCUCCUCAGAGCCAGCCCUCCUGUCACCAAUUGCUAGGAAUUUGAAUGAAGAGUGGUCCAGCGCUGCUGCCGCUGCUGUCUCCGCCGUCAUCGCCUCGUCCUCCUCCUCGUCCUCCUCCUCCUCCUCCUGCAGGAUCCCUCGUUGGGAUGCAAAACCUGAACUUGGAGAAGCAUCUCAGGCAAAGAAGCAGACGAAGAGCUUAGCAAUGAAUCCAUUGAAGCUCCAAUCCAUCAAAGAGCCCGAUCGACAAGGCACAGACCGUUCCUAAAUGUGAUUAAAUAUCUCUUUCUUCCAAAGCUCAGAGGAUACAGGGAUUUACCUAUCCUGGCUUCUUCACAAUUUGGUGUUCAAAGCACAGCCAUCUGGAGGAGGAAAUACAUGUAGAUCCAGUUAUGAGUUAGAGGUCUCUUGAUGGAUUUUUUUGCUGGUCUCCUUCCAUGACCCCAUCCCCAAGCAAGAAUCCAAUUCAAGGCUCCCCAGUGACUGCUUAUGUGUAAACAGUGUAUCUCAGCGCGACAAUGUGACAACAUGAGUGGUUUGUAGAUGUUAGCGCUUUAUCUUUCUGAUGUAAUGUUAAAACCAAGGUAUCUUGGCCUCUCUGUCGUAUUCCCCCCCAGUUGCUCAUGCAUUGCUGAAAUUCAGGCAGAUUGAAUGGCAGGAUUGUACCUCAUGACUUCAUCCUCAUUUGUAUGGGUAUUCUGUAUGCAUAGGGUGUGGAGCUGGGCAAUGGUAGGAACUGUCUGAUGAGUUAGAACCAGAAUGCAGCAACCCUAUAACACAUAUCAUAAGUGGUAAUUAAC